rnacentral:rRNA from 1 species
UCUCGCGGCCUAUCAGCUUGUUGGUGAGGUAAUGGCUCACCAAGGCGACGACGGGUAGCCGGCCUGAGAGGGCGACCGGCCACACUGGGACUGAGACACGGCCCAGACUCCUACGGGAGGCAGCAGUGGGGAAUAUUGCACAAUGGGCGAAAGCCUGAUGCAGCGACGCCGCGUGAGGGAUGACGGCCUUCGGGUUGUAAACCUCUUUCAGUAGGGAAGAAGCGAAAGUGACGGUACCUGCAGAAGAAGCGCCGGCUAACUACGUGCCAGCAGCCGUGGUAAUACGUAGGGCGCAAGCGUUAUCCGGAAUUAUUGGGCGUAAAGAGCUCGUAGGCGGUUUGUCGCGUCUGCCGUGAAAGUCCGGGGCUCAACUCCGGAUCUGCGGUGGGUACGGGCAGACUAGAGUGAUGUAGGGGAGACUGGAAUUCCUGGUGUAGCGGUGAAAUGCGCAGAUAUCAGGAGGAACACCGAUGGCGAAGGCAGGUCUCUGGGCAUUAACUGACGCUGAGGAGCGAAAGCAUGGGGAGCGAACAGGAUUAGAUACCCUGGUAGUCCAUGCCGUAAACGUUGGGCACUAGGUGUGGGGGACAUUCCACGUUUUCCGCGCCGUAGCUAACGCAUUAAGUGCCCCGCCUGGGGAGUACGGAAGCUUGGAAUUCGC